UACGUAGGGUGCGAGCGUUUAAUCGGAAUUACUGGGCGUAAAGCGUGCGCAGGCGGUUUUGUAAGUCAGAUGUGAAAUCCCCGGGCUCAACCUGGGAACUGCGUUUGAAACUACAAGGCUAGAGUGUAGCAGAGGGGGGUAGAAUUCCGACGUGUAGCAGUGAAAUGCGUAGAGAUGUGGAGGAAUACCAAUGGCGAAGGCAGCCCCCUGGGUUAGCACGUGACCUGGCUGCAUGCACAAAAAGCGUGGGGAGCAAACGAGGA
rnacentral:rRNA from 1 species